UGGGAAUAUGAUUGUUGGGAAGUUUUGUGUUUUUGUCUUUCCUACAGUGGCAGAAGUGUCAGGACAGUCUGCACGGGCAAGAAUGAUACCUAAAUCAUUACUCAGGCACAGGAGAGAGCAGGACUGGCAUGGCUGGCAGUUAAUCAUCAUCUCAUCUAAGGUGACCAGCAAGCCCUGAAGAAGUGGAAAAUGAAAGAACACGGUCUCAACAUUUAAAAACCUAACACAUUUAAUGUAUUCAUUAAAAUAUGUGUUGGUGCAUUCCCUCAGCCAGACAUAUUUAUUGAGAAAAUAUUAGGGACUAAAUGUUAUGCUAGAAAUUGAGGCACUGUACUUUGGCCAAACCAAUCUCCAUUUGCAACAUGUUUCUCCCUUACUGGACUCCACUAUAGAGAGAGUAAAAGCUAAAUUUUGAUGUUCCACCGCCACCCCCUUAUUGAUAUGAGAAAUAAGUCUUCUGGUGCUUUCCUCUCCAAUUUCCGUCUUCUUUCCACUUGAGCUGCUAGGAGAUGCAACAGUCGUUUUGAAACCAAAAAGAUAAAAACUACAUACUAAGAAUGCAUGAACCUAAAGAUUUACAGAGCCUGGGACACUGGGGAUACUUGGAGUCAAUGUAUCAGCCUUGGACUGAUUCCCGUGGGACUUCUUAUUACCCAAGUGAAACAGUCCUUCCUUUCAUCUGUUAAGCCACUAUGGUAUGUUUUGCUGGUUCUCGUAGCCAAAUACAGUUUUGACUGCUAUACCCAUUUUUUUCUUAUGGAUGUUCAUGACUUCUUUUAUAUUGUGGAUUGUAUUGUGAAUAUGUAUCUUAUUUGUUGCAAAUAUUUUCUCAGUCUUUUUGUCCUUUAAUUUAAGAUAUUAUUCAAUGUUUGUAAGGUUUUUA
rnacentral:lncRNA from 1 species